rnacentral:lncRNA from 1 species
UACCGGUAAAUAAUUUUUAUAGCGUAAAAGCUAAAUAAAUUCAUACAUACUGUAAUACAGAUAACCAAAGCAUAAGAUUUAAUUUACAAUGACACAUGGGCCCACGAACGACUAAAAGUAAUGAAGGCUAUGAACCUACAGUUUUUGAGGAUGCAAGUCCAAUUGUAGCCCUCAACGAAAUGAGCUAUCUACCAACUAUCCUGAGCCUAAAAGGGGUGGAAAGGAGGGUGGUGAGAUUAUACAAUCCCAAUGAGUAAACAAAUACCAUCUAAAAUAUCUAAAGUUGAGUAAAUGGAGACAGAUAAAAUCGAUUAACAUAAAAAUGAUCCACAACAUUUCGCACUUAUUUUAAUAAGAUAAAAUAGAUUCAUUUCACCCAAAUAAAUAAUGAGGCUUAUGAUUUCUUGAAAAGUAUGGCUUGUGCCAAAAUCAUUCUCAUACUCAGUUAUCAGGGAUACCUUGGCCUGGGGCUAUCCCAACCGAGUCCGCCAAGGCUAUUAAAAAAAAAUCAUGUAUGCAUAAAUCAUGUUUUUGUUUUGCAAACAUAGCCGUUCCUUGGUGAUGGCUGAGUUCACCCUCACGUGGUGGUUUGGCAUGAAGUGAACUCUAAAGUUGUACCUCGGGAGUUACCCUACGUGCCUCCACAAUCGAGGUAAGAAUAUAACAGGAUUCCGUGCCCCUCAAAAAGGCUGAUCCAUAAAACCCGCCCACUGUAACAAGCUAAACCCACAAUACAAUAAAAUUUGCAAUAGCAUGACAUAGAUUUUCAUACAUUUUCAGCCUCUCAAGGCAAAUCAACAAUUCAUACAUUUUCAGCACAUUUACCAAUUCAACCAUUCAUGCCAAUAUUAUCAUAAGCCAUUCAAUUCAAACCAUGAUUUAUAACACAUCAAUUAGUCUCCAAUUACUCCAUUUUCAAAACCAUCAUUCAAUUUCAAGACAAUUUUAUAAAAUCAUUUCAUUUAAUCACAUUUUGCUUAUAAAACAUAAAGAUUUACCAUUUAAACUAAUUUUUCUAUCAAAUCACAAAAACAAAUAAAAACUACUUUAGAUAAUUAAGACGAUAAUAAGGUUACUCACUAUUUCGAGAGUCGAAUUUCGAGUACUCCGAUUCUUGAUCCUCGGGUACUAUCUCUUUACUUUUGCCAGAAAGCUCACCACUUAGACAUAAUGCACAAUAAGCCAUUUACUACGUUUAUGCUAAACCGUUGUAAAACCAAUUCAGGCUUUGUACUAAUGCAUGAAAUGAGAUGUGAAAUACUCGGGCAACUAUCUAAAUACAGUGUUCAAUAUAAAUUCAAUUAUGUACCUUAAUAAAAUGGUAUUGGCCUAAUUCGAUCUAUCACUCGAUUAAUUGGCCAAUAUGUCCAAUUUAACUCCAAUUAACUCCAUUUUUCUUCCAAUUCUCCAAACCCUCAAACACAAGUCAAAUAGCAUAAAAUUUAGCAAAAUCAUCUUCACAUUUUCUCUUGGGAAUUUCGGCCAUGGUGGGUGCAUCAAUACUAUGAUUUUUCCUACUUGAUUUUCUCACCGUAAUUCAUCAUUUCCUAACAAAUUCACUUGAAAUAAAAUCAAAAUCAUCAUCACAUUUCACAUGGAGAAUUCGACCAAUGAGGGUUAUGGAAGAACAUGAAUUUUUCUUAUUGGCUUUUCAUGCUGCACAUCACUAACUAACUAAAAACACUAAAAUACAUUGAAAUCUAACCAAAUCAUGCAUCAAAACCUCCCUCCAAGUGUUCAGCCAGCAAGGGAUUCAUCAUGAUUUCAUGUGAUUCAACCAUGGAAAAUAAGAAAAAAUGCUUAAGAAAGGGAGAUCUCAAGCUUAAUUGAAAAAAUCUUACCUUUUUUCACUUGUUUCCUUGUAUUUUGACACUUUUCCCUUGAAUUUUUCCGCCUACGGUUUUGUUCUUCCUUUUUCUUGCUUCUCCUUGGUGAGGCCGAC